rnacentral:rRNA from 1 species
AGUAACACGUGGAUAACCUACCUAUAAGACUGGGAUAACUUCGGGAAACCGGAGCUAAUACUGAUAAUAUUUUGAACCGCAUGGUUCAAAAGUGAAAGACGGUCUUGCUGUCACUUAUAGAUGGAUCCGCGCUGCAUUAGCUAGUUGGUAAGGUAACGGCUUACCAAGGCAACGAUGCAUAGCCGACCUGAGAGGGUGAUCGGCCACACUGGAACUGAGACACGGUCCAGACUCCUACGGGAGGCAGCAGCG